AGCUUUGUGCAGUGGCAGUAUCGCAGCCAAUGAGGUUUAUCCAAGGUUCGAUUAUUGCUAACUGAAAUAGGACCUCACCAUGUAGCCUAGGCUAGAUUCCAACUUAUGAUCCUCCUGCCUCAUCCUCCUGCCUCAGCCUCCCAAGACUCUGGA
rnacentral:snRNA from 1 species